rnacentral:rRNA from 1 species
AUACGGAGGGUGCAAGCGUUGUCCGGAAUCAUUGGGCGUAAAGAGUUCGUAGGUGGCAUGUUAAGUCUGGUGUUAAAGCCCGAAGCUCAACUUCGGUUCGGCACUGGAUACUGGCAAGCUUGAAUGCGGUAGAGGUAAAGGGAAUUCCUGGUGUAGCGGUGAAAUGCGUAGAUAUCAGGAGGAACAUCGGUGGCGUAAGCGCUUUACUGGGCCGUAAUUGACACUGAGGAACGAAAGCCGGGGUAGC